AGUUCAGCGAGCCAUUUCAGCAGAUUGGAGAUCCCCUGCCUGCAGCACGUGCUGAUCUCCAAGGGUGAGGCUGGAUGAAGCCAGGGGCUAUGGAAAGGGAGACUGUUUCAGAGGACUUGACACCAUCUUCAGUAAUUUCUCUGGUUCUUGGCAGCUCCAUUUGGCUGCGUCCCUACCCUGCAUAACCCUCCCAGCUAGUCUACUCCAGGGCAGCGUCCAGCUGGUGACCUGAGAGGGCAGUGGCGCACCAGUCUCCAUGAAGGUUGAGCUCCGAUGGCCAACGGCCAUUUCCACCUUGUGGUCUACAACUCUUCAUCCCGACUGCAUGGAGGUUGGUCUCUCUCUUCAGCUGGAUUUAGGCCACCAUCUGAGCCCCCGGGGUACGUUUUGUCUGACCCUGGCGCCAUUCGAACGGUUCUUCUACAGCAUCAGGCGUUCACCUGGCUCCUAGGGCUUUUGUGCUGUAGGCCUAUAUUUCCAGCUACUUUUGGAAAAAAUCUCUCUGGAGGCUCAAUGAGCUUGUCACAUCAGCCUGCCCAGAGUAUCAAGAAAGACUUAAUCAGCAGUGAAUACUCUCCACCAAGCCCUUGACCCAUUGUCAGUCUCUGGCAUCAGAUCCUUUCCAGUAGGGCAAAGUGCAACUGCAGCCAGCUCAUGCCUUCAAGAGAAGGACUGAAGAUCAUUGUGUGCCUAAACCAAUUCUCUUUCCUGCCACCAUGUGAAGAAGGACAUGUUUGCUUCCCCUUCUGCCAUGAAUGGACAGGGUCCUGCUGUGUUGCCCAGGCUGGCCUUGAACUCCUGGCUUCAAACAGUCUUCCCACUUGGGCUCCCAAAGUGCUGGGAUUAAAGGGGCGAGUUACAGCACCAGGACCUGAAAUGUGACACCCCUGCUCCCCAUUCACCCUCCGCUAUCAGUAAAAGCUUCCUCAGACCUCACCAGAAGCUGGACAGAUAGAUGCUGGUGCCAAGCUUGUACAGACUGCAGAACCAUGGGCCAAAUAAACCUCUUUUCUUUAUAAA
rnacentral:misc_RNA from 1 species